UCAAAACCUGUGGGUCAAUCAAAAAUAAAAUGAUGAGAUUGGAAUUCAUUUCCAGAAGUGUGAAACAAUUAUAAACGGAGGACAUGUGUCAUUGCGGUGCCUCUUAUUUCCAAUACUGUGCGUCAUCAAGAACUUGACUAGUCGGACAUUUUCGUGAUUUCUUCAUGACUGGAAAGAACUUUUCCGAUACAUUGUGAUGAGAAAUGUUGUUCGUAACUCGUGAAAAAAGUGGGUUUUGACUCGUGGGCUUUUACGUCGCUCUUGGCUCGCACUAUAAAACUCCUACUCACCAAAGACUACUGAAGGAUUCUAGAGCUAAUUAGACAGCGCUACCUGCACUCCAGUUACACUCAUCAGGAUCAUGUUGAGACCGAUAACUCCAAAAAAAUUCCAGAGGCAUGUUCGGCGUACAUGAAUAGAAGCACAUCGCAGGAACCCACCACAGUCAUUACCAGAAAUGUGCAAAAGGUGGAUGCGAUGAACAACGGAUAAUAGUACGUGUCGAGGUCGAGGGAGCCGAAGUACAUUGGGGUUGGAAAGCGUUUUGCCACCGUGAUAUUGGGGUAGAGCACGACAGGAAUUCCACCGUUCGACGAUAUUUUUGCAGAGUUUUCGUGGCAUUCGAUUGAUUAUUUUUCCCAUUCUGAUUUCAACUAAUUAGAGUCGAGUAUUUGAGGGCACAUGAUACUUUCAGAGGUCCAAGAGCGUCAACCACAACUUCAGAAUCAUCUCGAUUUAUAACAACUGCCAGCACCUGAAAAUAGAAAUUGAGAAACGUAACAACGGGGCACGCCCGGCGGCCUGGCCCAGUGAGUAAGGCCCCUGCCUCACACUCAAUGCGGUAGUAUGAAAACAAUCGUGCCAGGUUAUGGUUUUCGGAAACCUCGCAUGACCUAUUAAUCUACUCUACGUACAGCCCUUGCCUCACACCGGAUAGGUUUUACACGGAGACAAAAAUCCGGCAAUUUUUAUAGCGUGAUGCCAAUAAAAAUUACUGUACUGCAUUACACUCCCGAUGUAAACCGCAGACGCGAGAGAAAUUACUAUGCUGCAUAGUAAAAUUACUUUAUCGGCUCAGAAAAAUUUCGAUAUCGGUAUUCGAUUUCGCAAAAAUUUAAAAUCUGAUGAAACAUUGACUGUGACGAGGUCCAACGUCGGCAAUAAUCGGCUACAUUCGGCCUUCAUCAUUGAAGCAUAAUGAGUUACUGAAAUAUUUCUAUGUGGCGCAGUAGAAAAUGCGGAAAGGACAAAUAAAAUAAACUGACCUAGACAGGAAUUUUUCAAAGAUUUCCAUCAUUUUUUCAUUUAGCCUAACAUAAAAAAUGGCAGACCUUAAAAUUUUAUAGUGCUGUUUAGUGAAUUUUACCAAGUCACAUGUCAUUAAUAACAAAAGUUAACACAAAAUUUACGGAGGUGACAGGAAUUUUUAUGUGUGAGCAAAAGAGAUUACAGUAUUGUAGCAUGUUGCAUCUCGAUUCUAGUGUUUGGCACAGUAAUUUUUCCCAGGUUUUUCCCUCCGUGUAAGUUCAAUUCAAUUAACGGAUCGAAAAAAUUUGAAAAAAUUGACGUUUCUAUUUAAAAUAUCUGAAAAAUUCUUGUGAUUUGAGAACAGCAUAAUUUUCAAAAUUACUCUAGAAGAAAAAUGAUUUCCGAGUGGGGCAUUGUUGUUUUCCCCACACGGAGAAAAAUAAUCAGUACAAAUUACGGAACGUGCACGAAAAACUCUGACACACUUCUAUUUUAUAAUCUGUAAUCUAUAUUCUGUAAUUAAACUUCGUUCUUGGAUUACGGAAAAAAACGUAAAUUUUAUUAAAUAUUUCUCUCCGUGUGAAAUUUUAAUAUUUCCAAACGCUUGUCCCUAUAUUUAUUCACAUUACCCUG